AUUUAUUUAGUAUAAAAGUAUAAUUGACUUCCAAUCAAUAGGUCUGGGAAUCCAGAAUAAAUA
rnacentral:tRNA from 1 species